rnacentral:tRNA from 1 species
UGGCCUAGUGGUUAAGGCUAUGGAUCACCAAUCCAGAAACGACGGGUUCGACUCCCGU